ACCUCCCGGCAGCCUCGCCAGGCCCAGAACUCUCUCCAGUCAGCCUCUACAGACCAAGCUCAUGACUCACAAUGGCCUAUUUAGGCCCAUACCCUACCUCACGGCAGUCUCCGCAGAUGAGCCUACUGCCUCACAACAGCCUCCACAGGCACAGCUCCAUCGUUACAAUGGCCUCUUUAGACCCAGCUCCUGCCUCCCAGCCUUCUCUCCAGGCCCUGAACUUUCUCCGUGGGACCAUCCAGUUUCAGGAAAACAAACUUAACACACCCACUGAUUCUACACUAUGCUCCUACCUCCCGGCAGCCUCGCCAGGCCCAGAACUCUCUCCAGUCAGCCUCUACAGACCAAGCUCAUGACUCACAAUGGCCUAUUUAGGCCCAUACCCUACCUCACGGCAGUCUCCGCAGAUGAGCCUACUGCCUCACAACAGCCUCCACAGGCACAGCUCCAUCGUUACAAUGGCCUCUUUAGACCCAGCUCCUGCCUCCCAGCCUUCUCUCCAGGCCCUGAACUUUCUCCGUAAGUUGAGGUAGCUGGGACUGU